AGAUAAUGCUAUUAUAGGUGUUUCAGAUCAGAUUGUUCAAUGGUUAUUUUGUAUGUUGUUAGAAAAAUGAAUAUGUGACAGUUAAAACAGAAUGACUCAGACUCAGGCAAGUUUUCACUGACAAAACUGUUAUUCCUCUAUUUAUUUUAAAUAAUGAUAACAUGGAGAAAGUAUUCAAUGCAGCUUAUAUGCUCAGUAUACAGCAAAUGUAAAUGAAUUAGUCUGACUGAUUGUCUGAGUCUGAAAAAUAUCGUUUAAUCCUCUAAAGGACUGAAACUAGAAAGUGACCUCAGUUCAUCUGUUUUGUUCACUUAUAAAUGCAAACAAACUAAACUGCUAUUCUUUCUUCUUUACCUUUUUGUAAAAUGAAUUUUUCUUACAGUGAGGAAAUAGGCACUUACUUUUUUAAAGGACGGCACGAAUAAUUCAAGGUCAGAAAAUGUAGCAUGUUUUGUAAUGAGCUGAUGAUUAUGUCAAGACAGAAGACAUUGCACAAAUAAUUGCUGCCAAAAUAAUGAACUUAUCAAUGGUAAUGAAGAAGAUUCAAGAAUGUAUCUUUAUUUGGUUAUAAAUAUUUGUAUGCCACAAUUUUCUAAUUUCUAAUUCUUAAAAAACAAAAAUUUCAAUGUAUUUGAUCAGGUUUCAAAAGUUCUUAAAAAAAAUAGCGUAAAGGUUGUAUUCAAAAUCUCAAUUUCUUAGAAAAUAAAUCUGGAGUCAGAAUAAAUAUUUUAAAUGUACAAUUUAAGGAAAUUAGAUACCAGACAGCGACCCAACACAAAAACCCAGAAGAGGGCACCUGGAUGUUUAAAGAACAGAUUUGCAAGAGUUUACCUUCAUUGGUGUUUACAAGACUGACUUACAAGAGUUAUUUUCCCAGAGAAGAAUAGUCCUGAUUAACAACAAUUAUCUCCCCUAUCAUGUGUCAAAAUUGUAUAUAAAGCACAUAUCUUUUACUGGAGUUAUUGAACAAGCAACAAUCAAUCCAAAUCUAGACCUUUGUGUUAAACAUUUUCUAAUGGAUAUUUUUUUUAUAAGAUGUGCCAAAAAAGAUUUAUAUAAGUUUGCUCCAUGUGUAAUCUGGUUAUAAAUAUAUUUUUGUCUAUCCUUAGUUACACCUACACUAUAUUAAUUUCCUAUGAUUUGUGUUCUAAAUAAAACACAUAAUAUUGACAAUUAUACACAUACAUAUAAUUAUUUGUUUUUUUCUGAACACAUGGUAUUCUCUUAAUUUUGAUACAGUAUCAUAAACUAUGGAUUACAAGUUUUGGUAUUGAUAACUUUGAUUAAUUGAUACAUUUUCUUCACACAACAUAUUUGUGGAUCUGUAUUUGUAUUGUUCAAGUAGCAAAGAAAAAGAAUUGACAUAAUUGAAAAGAAUGUAACAAUCUAUACAUGCAUUUCUAGUGCAAUAACAACUUAUUGUGAUUUCUAUUCGAAGCAGACUAAAUCUAUUCAUCACAGUCAGGUUUUGGCAAGAUAGUAUUUAUUGUGGUAAGUAGUCAGAUCUACAAAUCUAUCUAAAUACCACAUUAUACUAGUAAAUAGCUGGACCAACAAGUCUUUAAAAUUACCAACAUAUAUUGGUAGGUUGUCAGAACUACACAGUUUAUUAAAGAACAUAUAUUUAUAUGUCAUGUAUGUAAUUAGAUUUACAGGUUUGUCGAAAUUAAAAAAAAAAUACUUGUAAACCAGGUGCUCCGCAGGGCGCAGCUUUAUACGACCGCAGAGGUCGAACCCUGAACAGUUGGGGCAAGUAUGGAAAAA
rnacentral:lncRNA from 1 species